rnacentral:misc_RNA from 1 species
GCCUUUCUUUGCUUGAAUUCUGCAACGUCCAUUGCCUUUGUUAGUGGCGGAGCCACUCAACCAUCAAGGCCUAGCUCUUUGCCAACCGCAAUAACAUCCAAAAAUACGCCACUAAGAGAAUCUUUUAAGAAUACCUAAACAAGCUCCGUCUUAAUUAAGUGACAAAUUUAUAUUUUUCAUACUCGAGCGUCUUCUCUACUCGAUUUCUCAAGAUGCCCCCUUCUUAUCUCUCCAUGAGUCUGUCUGUUAUGUGCCUAUAACCUUUUGCUAUAAGUUGGUCAUGUUAAAAUUGACACUUCAUUGAUACAAGGCAGAAAGGGGUUCGAUUUUCUUGUUUUCUACUUUGCAUCUCUUUCUUGGAGGUACCUUUGGUAUAACUAAUUAACUAUUUCGGCUGAGGGAGAAAGAACGAGACAGAGGAAGAUUGUUUUUAAAUUUAAACUAAUGGCGUCUUCAAUUCUUUUUCCGGCAAAUUCUGUUACUGGAACAAGAAGCAAGACUCCUGGGUUCUUGCUCUCUGGAGGUCGACCGUCGUUAGCUCAGGUGGUGAGGACUCCAAGGUUGUUCUUUGUUCGUUCUUCUUUGGACUCUUUGGAGACAAACGUGUCUGAUAUGAGUGUUAAUGCUCCAAAGGGGUUGUUCCCACCAGAACCUGAACAUUAUAAAGGACCAAAGUUGAAGGUGGCUAUUGUUGGAGCUGGGCUUGCAGGGAUGUCAACUGCAGUGGAGCUAUUGGAUCAAGGUCAUGAGGUUGAUAUAUAUGAAUCAAGAACUUUUAUUGGUGGUAAAGUGGGAUCAUUUGUUGAUAGACGUGGAAAUCACAUUGAAAUGGGACUUCAUGUUUUCUUUGGCUGCUACAACAAUCUAUUCCGUUUGAUGAAGAAGGUAGGUGCAGAUAAGAAUCUACUUGUGAAGGAUCAUACUCACACAUUUGUAAACAAGGGGGGUGCAGUUGGGGAGCUUGAUUUUCGGUUUCCAAUUGGAGCUCCAUUACAUGGGAUUCGUGCUUUUUUGUCUACAAAUCAGCUUAAGACAUACGAUAAAGCAAGAAAUGCUGUGGCUCUUGCCCUAAGUCCAGUUGUGAAGGCCCUUCUUGAUCCAGAUGGAGCAAUGAAGGACAUAAGAAAUUUAGAUGGUAUCAGCUUCUCUGAUUGGUUUUUGUCCAAAGGAGGCACACGCAUGAGCAUCCAAAGAAUGUGGGAUCCUGUUGCCUAUGCCCUUGGGUUUAUUGACUGUGAUAACAUCAGUGCCCGUUGUAUGCUUACUAUAUUCUCAUUGUUUGCCACUAAGACAGAAGCUUCCCUACUACGCAUGCUCAAGGGUUCUCCGGAUGUUUACUUGAGUGGUCCUAUUAGAAAGUAUAUUGAAGAUAAAGGAGGCAGGUUUCAUUUAAGGUGGGGAUGCAGACAGAUAAUGUAUGAUGCAUCUGCUGAUGGAGAAACAUAUGUCACAGGACUUGCCAUGUCAAGAUCUACUAACAAGAAAGUUGUGAAAGCUGAUGCUUAUGUAGCAGCAUGUGAUGUUCCUGGAAUUAAAAGAUUACUUCCAUCCCAGUGGAGGGAAUCAAAAUUUUUUGAUAAUAUUUAUGAGCUAGUUGGAGUACCUGUUGUGACAGUGCAACUUAGAUAUAAUGGCUGGGUCACAGAGUUACAGGAUCUAGAAAGAUCAAGGCAAUUGAGGCAAGCUAUUGGUUUAGAUAACCUUCUGUACACACCAGAUGCUGAUUUUUCUUGUUUUGCGGACCUUGCACUCAGUUCUCCUGAAGAUUACUAUAUUGAAGGACAAGGGUCAUUGCUCCAGUGUGUUCUUACACCAGGUGAUCCAUACAUGCCUUUGCCGAAUGAUGAAAUAAUAAAGAGAGUCUCAAAGCAGGUUUUGGCUUUACUUCCAUCAUCCCAAGGCUUAGAAGUUAUCUGGUCAUCUGUUGUAAAAAUCGGGCAAUCGUUAUAUCGCGAGGGACCCGGCAAAGAUCCGUUCAGACCAGAUCAAAAGACGCCUGUGAAAAAUUUCUUCCUCGCUGGCUCUUACACAAAACAGGAUUACAUAGACAGCAUGGAAGGAGCAACUUUAUCUGGCAGACAGGCUUCAGCAUAUAUAUGUGAUGCUGGUGAAGACUUAGUAGCAUUAAGGAAGAAGCUUGCUGGUACAGAAUCUCCAGAAAACAGAGAGUCCGCUCCUAUUACUGAUGAGCUAAGUCUUGUAUGAUAUAUAGCUGAUUUUCAAGAGAAGCUUAAAUCAUCUUUGUUCGUGAUUAGAACAAUUCUAUUCAAUGAUUAUAAUCUUGCAUUUGGUCAAAAUGAACCCAAGAAGAGAUCAAGAGUAUCAUGGUGGCUGGAGUGGUUCAAACCAUAGUAGAUGUUGUCAAAGCAGCUUGGGGUAUAUAUACAUAUACCAUGAUCAAGUUCUUAACUCUCAUCUUAAUUGAUCACAGAAAAUUAUCAGUUUUGAUGCAAUUCAAGUGGUCGUCCCUGGCACCUAUCAAAUGGGUUGCACACGAGGCUCGCUUAGGCUGUUAUGAACAAAUGCAUGUUCUGCUUAUGAUGCCUACGGUUGUCGAAAGGACUAUUUUUAUGGAUCACAAUAGCCAUCACCAGGCAGCUCUUGAAGAAUUGAGAAAAGAAUACCUUAAUGUGCAUAUAAACGACUCUAUAAACCCAUCAAGCGUUCAAUAGAGGUUAAUAAUGCAUGUUGUUUUAAUUUUUUAAAAAUUUCUCAUUAUGCACAGGAUUUAAAUCAUUACCACAAGCUUGUUGAGGGAUUGGAGGAAAAUAUAAUUCCAAUCUCGACCGAGCUCAAAGUUGAGCAGAACCUGGAGUUCAAAUCCUGCAGAAUAUGUAUUUUGUGAUGCAGGACAUUUUAUCAGAGGCUGGAGACCAAAUUUUAACAUAUUUUCUACCAUUCUAGUGAAAAAAGAAGCAAGUAGCAAGAUAUGUAAUGCUUAAAAAACUAGAACAAUACCAUAAUCAGCUGUUAACCACAGAGCAACUAAAUUAUUCCAAAUAUAACUCAUGUAUGUAUCAAAAUAAAGCUCAAGUUCAGGACUAACACCAAAUGGAAAAGAUCUAAAUUCCACAUCCUCAAUAUUCCUGACUCUGACAAUGAUAAGAUUUGACUAUAUCAGACACCAUAGAGUUACAAACAACAAACACAUACCAGGUAUUAUGCAAUACGAAGCUCAUUUCACCUCCACACCUUACUUUAUCCACUUAAAUCCAUCUUCUGCUUCUUUCUCAAUGGCACUCUUUGCAACCUCCAGAUCCUCAUCGAAGAAAAUAUCCCACUGGCCCUCCCACUUGAUGAAAAACUCUGUAUCCUCAAAAUACUUCACUCUGUGCACAUCCCCAGCAGGAGUAAACAGAUAAUCUCCAACACCCAGAUCAUACUUUGUCUUCUUGCCCAAAUUCCACACCCUCUUGCUCCCCUUCAUCACCACCAAAUCAUGCCCAAAUGUAUGGUGAUGGGCCGGCUCAACACUCCCUGCCUUGAAGCUCACUAUAGCUGAUGUUGGGCUCUCCCUUACUAUCUUCAUUGAACCUCCUGGGAUAAUAUCAAUCGGAUCCAGCUUCCUGUUCUUCACUAAGCAACAUAGAGCACACGGAGUUAGAGUUUCUUCCUUAUUUUCAUUGGAUAUAUCUUCUUUUCCGACUUUUGGCAUUUCCUCAAGGGAAUUGUCUAGGAAUGAAGAUAUCUCUUCGCUCCAGGGAGCGAAAUUAAAAGCAGGACAUGGUGCCUUGAAAGGAGUAUUGAGCCAAGUGUCGAGGAUCUCUAUGGCGGAUUCUGGAGACGUGGACAUGCCAGAGACCGCGAGGACAUUGCAGUUGUUAAUGGAGCGGGUGUUGAUAGCUUCGGCUGUUGAGAGGCAGGUGGAAGCGAAGACGCCAGGGAACUUGUUGGCAAAUAUGGAGACACCGACGCCGGUUCCGCAAGCUACAAGGCCACGGAUUUCAGGGCAAAGAGAGGAUGGAGAUGUGGCGUUAGCAGCGGAGACGCGGCGGCCAACCUCAGCGGCGAUCGAGUAGUAGGAGGAAGUACCGAGGUCUUCAACGUCUAUCUUAAGAGAGCGGAGAUGCGAGACAAGAGCGUCCUUGAGGUUGCAGCCGAAGGAGUCCGCUCCGGUUAUGAUUUUGAGAGGCUGGGGAGUAGCGGCGACGGUAGAUUCAGCCAUUUGUGCUGUUGGCAGCGGCGGUGUAGAGGUCGUAACAGGGAGUGAUGGAGUACGGGACACCAAUUAUCUGAAAUUAAAUCAUUAAAUUCUAGAAAGUAGAUCGACAUCGGGCCAGAUUCAUCCAAAAAAAUAAUAAUUAACUGAAAUAAAAUAUGAGGAUAAAGUAUACUUUAAUAUAUGUACAGUAAUACCAUGGCGCUUCACUUCGCAAAACAAGACUGUUGCAGACAGGGUUUUAAGGGAUGACAAGGCCUCUGAAUC